rnacentral:rRNA from 1 species
AUCCUGGCUCAGGAUGAACGCUGGCGGCGUGCUUAACACAUGCAAGUCGAACGGAGUCAUCAUUUUUGAAGCAAUUAGCUUGCUAAGAGUGGAAAUGUUGAUGACUUAGUGGCGGACGGGUGAGUAACGCGUGGGUAACCUGCCAUAUACAGGGGGAUAACACUUAGAAAUAGGUGCUAAUACCGCAUAAGCGCACAGUUUUGCAUGAGACAGUGUGAAAAACUACGGUGGUAUAUGAUGGACCCGCGUCUGAUUAGCUGGUUGGUGGGGUAACGGCCCACCAAGGCGACGAUCAGUAGCCGGCCUGAGAGGGUGGACGGCCACAUUGGGACUGAGACACGGCCCAAACUCCUACGGGAGGCAGCAGUGGGGAAUAUUGGACAAUGGGGGAAACCCUGAUCCAGCGACGCCGCGUGAGUGAAGAAGUGUUUCGGUAUGUAAAGCUCUAUCAGCAGGGAAGAAAAAAUGACGGUACCUGACUAAGAAGCCCCGGCUAACUACGUG